rnacentral:rRNA from 1 species
GACGAACGCUGGCGGCGUGCUUAACACAUGCAAGUCGCACGGGACUGGGGGCAACUCCAGUUCAGUGGCGGACGGGUGCGUAACACGUAAGCAACAUGUCCAGGGGUGGGGAUAGCCGGCCCAACGGCCGGGUAAUACCGCAUGCAGUCACCUGCGGCAUCAAGGGUGACGAAAGCCGGGCAACCUGGCGCCCAUGGAGUGGCUUGCGGCCUAUCAGCUAGNGGUGGGUAAUGGCUCACCAAGGCUACGACGGUAGCUGGUCUGAGAGGAUGACCAGCCACAUUGGGACUGAGACACGGCCCAGACUCUACGGGAGGCAGCAGUGGGAAUAUUGCGCAAUGGGCGAAUGCCUGAC